GGGUGCCAUCAUACCAGCACUAAUGCACCGGAUCCUAUCAGAACUCUAAAGUUAAGCGUGCUUGGGCGAGAGUAGUACUAGGAUGGGUGACCCCUAGGAUGCAUGACCCCCUGGGAAGUCCUCGUGUUGCACCCC
rnacentral:rRNA from 1 species